CCAGACUCCUACGGGAGGCAGCAGUGAGGAAUAUUGGUCAAUGGCCGAGAGGCUGAACCAGCCAAGUCGCGUGAGGGAUGACGGCCCUACGGGUUGUAAACCUCUUUUGUCGGGGAGCAAAGAGAGUCACGUGUGACUCAUUGAGAGUACCCGAAGAAAAAGCAUCGGCUAACUCCGUGCCAGCAGCCGCGGUAAUACGGAGGAUGCGAGCGUUAUCCGGAUUUAUUGGGUUUAAAGGGUGCGUAGGCGGAUUUUUAAGUCAGCGGUAAAAUGUCCGGGCUCAACCCGGGCCGGCCGUUGAAACUGGGGAUCUUGAGUGGGCGAGAAGUAUGCGGAAUGCGUGGUGUAGCGGUGAAAUGCAUAGAUAUCACGCAGAACUCCGAUUGCGAAGGCAGCAUACCGGCGCCCGACUGACGCUGAGGCACGAAAGCGUGGGUAUCGAACAGGAUUAGAUACCCGCGUA
rnacentral:rRNA from 1 species